UUUGUCACAUUCAUAAUUUUGUAUCAGAGUUAUAUGUUAAUUAUGAUUGCAGUACCUACUUUACUAAUGUGUGAGAGAGACUGAGCAAGCUACUUGCUAAGCAAGCAUUCCCCAGCUCUUAUCACACGAUAUCAUCAACCAACAUUAUUAGCACUGGAAACACUACUGACAAUGAUACUGGCAUUAGAAUCAACCAACACCACCACUACUGAUAAUGAUGAUACCAAUGAUGGUGAUACUAAUAGAAUGUGUACUAAAAAUGGAGGGAAAGUUGCAGGUGACUGUAAUAAAGGAGUGAGUGUGAAUUGAUCUGCUUGGAUCAUAUUCUCAUCAGAUAAGCAGCAGGAACCAGAUAUCAUUCUAAAUGGAGCAGAGGUGGUGGUUGGAGCUAUAUCAGAACCUAAUAUGGCGUUUUGGCCUUUUGUCACUUUAUUUAACCAUUUUUAAGGGUACCGUCAAGGAUCUCAAGUCCUAUUUUGUGGGCGGAGUUGACACCUUGUCAUCAAAUUUACAUGAAUGAACAUUAAAGGUACUGUCAAGGAUCUCAAGUCCAUUUUAGACGGCGGAUUUGACGCCUUGUCUUCAAAUUUACAUGAAUGAACAUUAAAGAGGUCAUCGUGGGGGGCGGAGUCAUGCAUCCCAUCUAAUAUGGCGUUUUGGCCUUUUGUCACUUCAUUUAACCGUUUUUA